UAAGGAAUAUUGGACAAUGGCCGCAAGGCUGAUCCAGCCAUGCCGCGUGCAGGAUGAAGGUGCUCUGCAUUGUAAACUGCUUUUGUUUGGGAAUAAACCCCUCUACGUGUAGAGGGCUGAAUGUACCAAAAGAAUAAGGGACGGCUAACUUCGUGCCAGCAGCCGCGGUAAUACGAAGGUCCCGAGCGUUAUCCGGAUUUAUUGGGUUUAAAGGGUGCGUAGGCGGGUUAUUAAGUCAGUGGUGAAAGCCUACAGCUUAACUGUAGAAUUGCCAUUGAUACUGAUGAUCUUGAGUAUGAUUGAGGUGGGCGGAAUGUGUCAUGUAGCGGUGAAAUGCUUAGAUAUGACACAGAACACCGAUUGCGAAGGCAGCUCACUAAGCCAUAACUGACGCUGAUGCACGAAAGCGUGGGGAGCAAACAGGAUUAGAUACCCCCGUAGUCC
rnacentral:rRNA from 1 species